UACGUAGGUGGCAAGCGUUGUCCGGAUUUACUGGGCGUAAAGGGCGUGCAGGCGGUCUGUCUAGUCUAGGGUGAAAGCUCCCGGCUCAACCGGGAGAGGUCCUUGGAUACUGGCAGACUCGGGGGAGGCAGAGGAAAGUGGAAUUCCCGGUGUAGUGGUGAUAUGCGUAGAUAUCGGGAGGAACACCAGUGGCGAAGGCGGCUUUCUGGGCCUUACCUGACGCUGAGACGCAAAAGCGUGGGGAGCGAACCGG
rnacentral:misc_RNA from 1 species